rnacentral:lncRNA from 1 species
AACAUCACUACUUCCGUGGAGAUGACCUCAUAUACGUGCAGUUCGAAGAAUUGCACCAAUUAUGCCACCUCGACGCUCUUGACAAAUCUCUUGUCACCUGCUUUUGUCUGUAAGUAUUUUUCCUUUUUAUUAUACUUCUAACUUCUUUAAUUACAUGUAUAUAAUCCUUACACACUUAGGAUUUGUAUGUAUAUAUGCAGGCACCAAAUGAGAGAGCUCAGAAUGAGAAAUGACAAUAGUAUUGGGUUCGUUGACCCUUAUAUUGUUUUCAAGGCUCC